AAUUGGAGGGCAAGUCUGGUGCCAGCAGCCGCGGUAAUUCCAGCUCCAAUAGCGUAUAUUAAAGUUGUUGCAGUUAAAAAGCUCGUAGUUGAAUUUCGGGAUCAAUAUUUCGGUCAUGCCGUUGGUAUGCACUGUUAUCAUUGAUUUCUCACCUUCUAAAGAACCGUAAUGCCAUUAAUUUGGUGUUACGGGGAAUUAGGACUGUUACCUUGAAAAAAUUAGGGUGUUUAAAGCAGGCUCACGCUUGAAUACAUUAGCAUGGAAUAAUGAAAUAGGACAUCCGAUUCUAUUUUGUUGGUUUCUAGGAUCGAUGUAAUGAUUAAUAGGGAUAGUUGGGGGCAUUAGUAUUCAAUUGUCAGAGGUGAAAUUCUUGGAUUUAUUGAAGACUAACUACUGCGAAAGCAUUUGCCAAGGAUGUUUUCAUUAAUCAAGAACGAAAGUUAGGGGAUCGAAGACGAUCAGAUACCGUCGUAGUCUUAACCAUAAACUAUGCCGACUAGGGAUCGGAUGAUGUUAAUUUUUUAAUGACUCAUUCGGCGCCUUACGGGAAACCAAAGUGU
rnacentral:rRNA from 1 species